rnacentral:tRNA from 1 species
GCAGUGGUGGUUCAGUGGUGGCAGAAUUCUUGCCUUCCAUGCAGGGGACCUGGGCUCAAUUCCCACUCAAUGCA